CUACACAUGCAGUCGAACGAUGAUCUCCAGCUUGCUGGGGGGAUUAGUGGCGAACGGGUGAGUAACACGUGAGUAACCUGCCCUUGACUCUGGGAUAAGCCUGGGAAACUGGGUCUAAUACCGGAUAUGACCAUUCCGCGCAUGCGGUGGUGGUGGAAAGCUUUUGCGGUUUUGGAUGGACUCGCGGCCUAUCAGCUUGUUGGUGGGGUAAUGGCCUACCAAGGCGACGACGGGUAGCCGGCCUGAGAGGGUGACCGGCCACACUGGGACUGAGACACGGCCCAGACUCCUACGGGAGGCAGCAGUGGGGAAUAUUGCACAAUGGGCGCAAGCCUGAUGCAGCGACGCCGCGUGAGGGAUGACGGCCUUCGGGUUGUAAACCUCUUUCAGUAGGGAAGAAGCGAAAGUGACGGUACCUGCAGAAGAAGCGCCGGCUAACUACGUGCCAGCAGCCGCGGUAAUACGUAGGGCGCAAGCGUUAUCCGGAAUUAUUGGGCGUAAAGAGCUCGUAGGCGGUUUGUCGCGUCUGCUGUGAAAGACCGGGGCUCAACUCCGGUUCUGCAGUGGGUACGGGCAGACUAGAGUGAUGUAGGGGAGACUGGAAUUCCUGGUGUAGCGGUGAAAUGCGCAGAUAUCAGGAGGAACACCGAUGGCGAAGGCAGGUCUCUGGGCAUUAACUGACGCUGAGGAGCGAAAGCAUGGGGAGCGAACAGGAUUAGAUACCCUGGUAGUCCAUGCCGUAAACGUUGGGCACUAGGUGUGGGGGACAUUCCACGUUUUCCGCGCCGUAGCUAACGCAUUAAGUGCCCCGCCUGGGGAGUACGGCCGCAAGGCUAAAACUCAAGAGAAA
rnacentral:rRNA from 2 species